rnacentral:rRNA from 1 species
CCUACGGGAUGCAGCAGUGGGGAAUCUUAGACAAUGGGCGCAAGCCUGAUCUAGCCAAGCCGCGUGAGUGAAGAAGGUCUUAGGAUCGUAAAGCUCUUUCGCCUGUGAUGAUAAUGACAGUAGCAGGUAAAGAAACCCCGGCUAACUCCGUGCCAGCAGCCGCGGUAAUACGGAGGGGGUUAGCGUCGUUCGGAAUUACUGGGCGUAAAGCGCACGUAGGCGGAUUGGAAAGUUGGGGGUGAAAUCCCGGGGCUCAACCCCGGAACGGCCUCCAAAACUAUCAGUCUAGAGUUCGAGAGAGGUGAGUGGAAUUCCAAGUGUAGAGGUGAAAUUCGUAGAUAUUUGGAGGAACACCAGUGGCGAAGGCGGCUCACUGGCUCGAUACUGACGCUGAGGUGCGAAAGUGUGGGGAGCAAACAGGAUUAGAUACCCCUGUAGUC